rnacentral:rRNA from 1 species
UACGAAGGGUGCAAGCGUUACUCGGAAUUACUGGGCGUAAAGCGUGCGUAGGCGGUUCGUUAAGUCCGUUGUGAAAGCCCUGGGCUCAACCUGGGAAUGGCAGUGGAUACUGGCGAGCUAGAGUGUGAUAGAGGAUGGUGGAAUUCCCGGUGUAGCGGUGAAAUGCGUAGAGAUCGGGAGGAACACCAGUGGCGAAGGCGGCCAUCUGGAUCCAACACUGACGCUGAGGCACG